UGGGGAAUAUUGGACAAUGGGCGCAAGCCUGAUCCAGCCAUGCCGCGUGAGUGAUGAAGGCCCUAGGGUUGUAAAGCUCUUUCACCCACGACGAUAAUGACGGUAGUGGGAGAAGAAGCCCCGGCUAACUUCGUGCCAGCAGCCGCGGUAAUACGAAGGGGGCUAGCGUUGCUCGGAAUCACUGGGCGUAAAGGGCGCGUAGGCGGACAUUUAAGUCAGGGGUGAAAGCCCAGAGCUCAACUCUGGAAUUGCCUUUGAUACUGGGUGUCUCGAGUCUGGUAGAGGUUGGUGGAACUGCGAGUGUAGAGGUGAAAUUCGUAGAUAUUCGCAAGAACACCGGUGGCGAAGGCGGCCAACUGGACCAGCACUGACGCUGAGGCGCGAAAGCGUGGGGAGCAAA
rnacentral:rRNA from 1 species